rnacentral:rRNA from 1 species
GUGUGACUGCGUACCUUUUGUAUAAUGGGUCAGCGACUUAUAUUCUGUAGCAAGGUUAACCGAAUAGGGGAGCCGAAGGGAAACCGAGUCUUAACUGGGCGUUAAGUUGCAGGGUAUAGACCCGAAACCCGGUGAUCUAGCCAUGGGCAGGUUGAAGGUUGGGUAACACUAACUGGAGGACCGAACCGACUAAUGUUGAAAAAUUAGCGGAUGACUUGUGGCUGGGGGUGAAAGGCCAAUCAAACCGGGAGAUAGCUGGUUCUCCCCGAAAGCUAUUUAGGUAGCGCCUCGUGAAUUCAUCUCCGGGGGUAGAGCACUGUUUCGGCAAGGGGGUCAUCCCGACUUACCAACCCGAUGCAAACUGCGAAUACCGGAGAAUGUUAUCACGGGAGACACACGGCGGGUGCUAACGUCCGUCGUGAAGAGGGAAACAACCCAGACCGCCAGCUAAGGUCCCAAAGUCAUGGUUAAGUGGGAAACGAUGUGGGAAGGCCCAGACAGCCAGGAUGUUGGCUUAGAAGCAGCCAUCAUUUAAAGAAAGCGUAAUAGCUCACUGGUCGAGUCGGCCUGCGCGGAAGAUGUAACGGGGCUAAACCAUGCACCGAAGCUGCGGCAGCGACGCUGAUGCGUUGUUGGGUAGGGGAGCGUUCUGUAAGCCUGCGAAGGUGUGCUGUGAGGCAUGCUGGAGGUAUCAGAAGUGCGAAUGCUGACAUAAGUAACGAUAAAGCGGGUGAAAAGCCCGCUCGCCGGAAGACCAAGGGUUCCUGUCCAACGUUAAUCGGGGCAGGGUGAGUCGACCCCUAAGGCGAGGCCGAAAGGCGUAGUCGAUGGGAAACAGGUUAAUAUUCCUGUACUUGGUGUUACUGCGAAGGGGGGACGGAGAAGGCUAUGUUGGCCGGGCGACGGUUGUCCCGGUUUAAGCGUGUAGGCUGGUUUUCCAGGCAAAUCCGGAAAAUCAAGGCUGAGGCGUGAUGACGAGGCACUACGGUGCUGAAGCAACAAAUGCCCUGCUUCCAGGAAAAGCCUCUAAGCAUCAGGUAACAUCAAAUCGUACCCCAAACCGACACAGGUGGUCAGGUAGAGAAUACCAAGGCGCUUGAGAGAACUCGGGUGAAGGAACUAGGCAAAAUGGUGCCGUAACUUCGGGAGAAGGCACGCUGAUAUGUAGGUGAAG